UGCCCGAUGAGGUCCUCUUUGACUAGCU
rnacentral:sRNA from 1 species